UACGAAGGGGGCUAGCGUUGCUCGGAAUCACUGGGCGUAAAGGGUGCGUAGGCGGGGCUUUAAGUCAGGGGUGAAAGCCCAAGGCUCAACCUUGGAAUUGCCUUUGAUACUGAGGGCCUUGAGACCGGAAGAGGUCGGCGGAACUGCGAGUGUAGAGGUGAAAUUCGUAGAUAUUCGCAAGAACACCAGUGGCGAAGGCGGCCGACUGGUCCGGUUCUGACGCUGAGGCGCGAAAGCGUGGGGAGCAAACAGG
rnacentral:rRNA from 1 species